rnacentral:rRNA from 1 species
CCUACGGGAGGCAGCAGUGGGGAAUAUUGCACAAUGGGCGAAAGCCUGAUGCAGCAACGCCGCGUGAGCGAUGAAGGCCUUCGGGUCGUAAAGCUCUGUCCUCAAGGAAGAUAAUGACGGUACUUGAGGAGGAAGCCCCGGCUAACUACGUGCCAGCAGCCGCGGUAAUACGUAGGGGGCUAGCGUUAUCCGGAAUUACUGGGCGUAAAGGGUGCGUAGGUGGUUUUUUAAGUCAGAAGUGAAAGGCUACGGCUCAACCGUAGUAAGCUUUUGAAACUGAGAAACUUGAGUGCAGGAGGGGAGAGUAGAAUUCCUAGUGUAGCGGUGAAAUGCGUAGAUAUUAGGAGGAAUACCAGUUGCGAAGGCGGCUCUCUGGACUGUAACUGACACUGAGGCACGAAAGCGUGGGGAGCAAACAGGAUUAGAUACCCUGGUAGUCCACGCCGUAAACGAUGAGUACUAGGUGUCGGGGAUUACCCCCCUCGGUGCCGCAGCUAACGCAUUAAGUACUCCGCCUGGGAAAUACGCUCGCAAGACUGAAACUUAAAGGAAUUGACGG